rnacentral:rRNA from 1 species
GACGAACGCUGGCGGCGUGCCUAAUACAUGCAAGUCGAACGAAGCUGUUUUAACUGGUGCUUGCACCGACUUAAACAACUGAGUGGCGAACGGGUGAGUAACACGUGGGUAACCUGCCCCAAAGCGGGGGAUAACAUUUGGAAACAGAUGCUAACACCGCAUAACCACAGAAACCACAUGGUUUCUGUGUCAAAGAUGGUUUCGGCUAUCCCUUAGGGAUGGACCCGCGGCGUAUUAGCUAGUUGGUAAGGUAAUGGCUUACCAAGGCAAUGAUACGUAGCCGAACUGAGAGGUUGAUCGGCCACAUUGGGACUGAGACACGGCCCAAACUCCUACGGGAGGCAGCAGUAGGGAAUCUUCCACAAUGGACGAAAGUCUGAUGGAGCAACGCCGCGUGAGUGAAGAAGGUUUUCGGAUCGUAAAACUCUGUUGUCAGAGAAGAACGUGUGCGAGAGUAACUGCUCGUGCAGUGACGGUAUCUGGCCAGAAAGCCACGGCUAACUACGUGCCAGCCGCCGCCGUAA